AUCAGUUAUCUUCAGUCCUCCUUCUGUGGUGAGUUCAAUAAUCUUCUUAUACUGAUUUCUCUCCUUCAUGACUGCUGAAAAAUACUUGUUAUUGGAGUCACCAAGUUUGAUCCAUUUAGCUCUUGACUUUUGUUGCAAAGCUGACUCUUCAAUUAAGGACCAUUUUUCAAGCUGUUGAACCAGGUCUUUUGCUCUUUGCUGUAGUGAAUCUGAGUAUGAGAUUGCCAUUUGAUGCUGUACAACUUCCAGUUCCUUUCUGCUACUUUCAAUCUUUUG
rnacentral:lncRNA from 1 species